ensembl:snRNA U6 U6 spliceosomal RNA
UUGCUUCAGCAGCAAAUAUACUAAAAUUGGAAUGAUACAGAGAAGAUUAGAAUGGCCCCUGUGCAAUGAUGACAUACAAAUUCUUGAACCAUUCCAUAUUUUU